rnacentral:rRNA from 1 species
ACACGACUSUCGGCAACGGAUAUCUCGGCUCUCGCAUMGAUGAAGAACGUAGCGAAAUGCGAUACCUGGUGUGAAUUGCAGAAUCCCGCGAACCAUCGAGUCUUUGAACGCAAGUUGCGCCCGAGGCCACAUGGCCGAGGGCACGCCUGCCUGGGCGUCACGC